UCUGUUUCAGCGGUGUUCUUUGCCUUUACUUUUAGGAGGUCCAGGCAGAUAGCAGCAGUCAAAGCCCAGUGUGCCAGGGAAUCCACUGGGAGUAUGCUAAGCCCCUGUCAGCAGCUGGCUGAUGGACUGGGUUUGCUGUGCUUGUGAGUCCUCUGGAAGUAUUACAGGACCCUGUGAUGAAGCCUACUGAUUUUGCAUUUCAAGGUCCCAUCCUGGUAACCCAGAGCAGUGGCCAAGGAGUUGUGGUGAGUCAGGGAGGUAGGGAGGAGGAGUGAGAGUCCACUCAAGUUUCAGCAAUGCCAUGUCACCCUUUCUCCACUUAAUCUAGGUGUACCCUGAGAUGAUGCUGUCGGCCUCCAAGCACGCCUGCGGUGUGUGGCCCGACCAUUCUGAGGAGAAUGGUGAGUAGCAGAAUUGUCAGGUUUUGGCCAUUGUGCUGUUACGGUUGUG